rnacentral:rRNA from 1 species
AACGAACGCUGGCAGCAGGCCUAACACAUGCAAGUCGAACGCCCUAGCAAUAGGGAGUGGCAGACGGGUGAGUAACACGUGGGAACCUUCCUAGGGGUACGGAACAACUCAGGGAAACUUGAGCUAAUACCGUAUACGUCCGUGAGGAGAAAGAUUUAUCGCCCUUAGACGGGCCCGCGUCGGAUUAGCUAGUUGGUGGGGUAACGGCCUACCAAGGCGACGAUCCGUAGCUGAUCUUAGAGGAUGAUCAGCCACACUGGGACUGAGACACGGCCCAGACUCCUACGGGAGGCAGCAGUGGGGAAUCUUGGACAAUGGGCGCAAGCCUGAUCCAGCCAUGCCGCGUGAGUGAAGAAGGUCUUCGGAUUGUAAAGCUCUUUUGCCAGGGACGAUAAUGACGGUACCUGGAGAAUAAGCCCCGGCAAACUUCGUGCCAGCCGCCGCGGUAA